GACGAACGCUGGCGGCGUGCUUAACACAUGCAAGUCGAACGGAGUGGCGAACGGGUGAGUAACACGUGGGUGAACUGCCUUGCACUUCGGGAUAAGCUUGGGAAACUGGGUCUAAUACCCGAUAGUGCAAGAUGAGCUCGCGGCCUAUCAGCUUGUUGGUGGGGUAAUGGCCUACCAAGGCGUCGGCGGGUAGCCGGCCUGGGAGGGUGUACGGCCACAUUGGGACUGAGGUACGGCCCAGAGUGCUACGGGAGGCAGCGGGGGGGAAUAUUGCACAGUGGGCGGAAGCCUGAUGAAGCGACGCCGGGUGGGGAAUGAAGGCCUUCGGGUUGGAAACUCCUUUCGACAGGGACGCGGUACCUGUAUAAGAAGCACCGGCUAACUACGUGCCAGCAGCCGCGGUAAUAC
rnacentral:rRNA from 1 species